rnacentral:lncRNA from 1 species
AUAUGGGUCUAUGCAGUGUAGAUUGGCUGCAGUAGGUUCACUGUAGGAAUAGGGUAUGCACCUACAAGGAAUCUAUCGACCUUGAUAGAAGAGGAGUGAUCCUAUGUGAUUUGUUAGACUGAGUUCUAAGACCUUGGCCAGGGCAGUAAUAUAAAGUGGAGAAAGAGUUUUCCACUAUCGAACUCGAGUCGAAUAAAUCUUGAUAUAUGACAGACGAUGGGGUUUGACGAGUUGUCCAUGACCUCCGUCCUGUAGGGAUCCACGAUAGUAGGACUGUAUCAUACGUUAACUGCACCUAGAGGUUCAUCAUUCCAUUCUGCUGGGUAGCCACUACAUGCUGCUAGGUGUCACUGGUGGAUGGUGGGACUCAUAGGGAUUAUCUCGAUGAUCGAUAAACCCUAAUGAGUUGAGUUGGAAUCGUUCCAACCCAUUGAAAGGAGUUUUCAAUGAUAUAGUGAUAGAGAUCACAAUAUAUCUCACUACCAGUCAGAAUAGAAUCUAUGGGGUCACACACACUAGAAGUAUUGACCGAUCCGAUGGUUGAAAAGUGAUUAUGAAUCACGAGUAAUCAAUUCGAUUGAUAAGAAGUUGAAAAAGGAAAGGAAAUUAAUUAAUU